rnacentral:rRNA from 1 species
AUUGAACGCUAGCGGGAUGCCUUACACAUGCAAGUCGAACGGAGUGGCGAACGGGUGAGUAAUGUAUCGGAACGUGCCCAGUAGCGGGGGAUAACUACGCGAACGCGUAGCUAAUACCGCAUACUAUUGGACCGGCCGAUAUCGGAUUGGCUAGUUGGUGGGGUAACGGCUCACCAAGGCGACGAUCCGUAGCUGGUUUGAGAGUACGACCAGCCACACUGGGGCUGAGACACGGCCCAGAGUCCUACGGGAGGCAGCAGGGGGGAAUUUUUGACAAUGGGGGAAACCCUGAUCCAGCCAUCCCGCGUGUGCGAUGAAGGCCUUCGGGUUGUAAAGCACUUUUGGCAGGAAAGCGGUACCUGCAGAAUAAGCACCGGCUAACUACGUGCCAGCCGCCGCGGUAAUUC